rnacentral:rRNA from 1 species
CAGCAGCCGCGGUAAUACGGAGGGAGCUAGCGUUGUUCGGAAUUACUGGGCGUAAAGCGCGCGUAGGCGGUUACUCAAGUCAGAGGUGAAAGCCCGGGGCUCAACCCCGGAACUGCCUUUGAAACUAGGUGACUAGAAUCUUGGAGAGGUCAGUGGAAUUCCGAGUGUAGAGGUGAAAUUCGUAGAUAUUCGGAAGAACACCAGUGGCGAAGGCGACUGACUGGACAAGUAUUGACGCUGAGGUGCGAAAGCGUGGGGAGCAAACAGGAUUAGAUACCCCUGUAGUCCCUGUCUCUUAUAC